CGCCCGCGCUGCGCCAUGGGCGCCUCGUCGAGCCGCCGCCGCCGGGACGACUACUACCCGCCGCCGCCCCCGCCGCCUCACCACUACUCCUCGUACCCGCCCCCGCCGCACCAUCACCACCACCACCCGCCUCCUCCCCCGCCGCACCACCGGGCUCCCCCUCCGCCGCCGCCGCCCGCCUCCUCGUACUACUACCACCCCCAGCCGCCGCCCCCGCACGCGUACCACGGCCCGUGGCACCCGGCGCCCGCACCGCCGCCGCCGCUGCAGCAGCCGCAGCCGCAGCCGCUCGCGCUGACGGGCCCCCCGCCCGAGUACGUGGAGCACCAGCAGGCGCAGAAGGUGAAGAACUACGUCAACCUGCACAAGGACACCAUCAGGCUCGAGCCCGACGGCGCCGACCCCGACCGCCGCCUCGUCGCCUUCACCUUCGACGCGGUGACCGACGGCAGUGUGACUAUAUAUUACUUUGCCAAGGAAGGAAAAGACUGUAGUUUUUCUUCAGUAUACCCAGAAUUACAGACGCCAACAAAGAUACCCUUCCAGAAAGGGUUAGCCCAAAGGUUCAUCCAGCCCUCUGGAUCUGGUGUUGACUUGGGAUUCUUUUCUCUUGAUGAGCUUUCAAAUCCAUCAGGGGAAGUAUUCCCUCUGGUAGUUUAUGCAGAAGCAUAUCCAUCUCCAGAUGAAGGUGGCCCGUCAGUAAACUCCACUCGUGCACAGAUUACUCUUGCUGUUUUGGAGAAGCAUAACAAUGACCUUCGAGUCAAAGUUAUCAAGCAAAUCUUGUGGAUUGAUGGAGUGAGGUAUGAGCUACAGGAAAUUUUCGGUCUUGUCAACUCCACAGAAGCGGAUGUUGCUGAUGCUGAUGCUGAUGACACGGGAAAGGAAUGUGUUAUCUGCUUGACAGAACCAAGGGACACUGCUGUUAUGCCUUGUAGACAUUUGUGUUUGUGCAGUGAAUGUGCAAAAACUCUACGAUUUCAGUCAAAUAAAUGCCCCAUAUGCAGACAGCCUGUUGAAAAACUAAUGGAGAUCAAAGUUAGAAGUCCUGAGCCAUAAAGGAGACUUUGAUGGUAAGUUUGAACUAAAGCAUUGCUUCUGCUUAGGGUCCUCUGCUGUCCUGAGAUUAAUGGAGUGAAAAGUUGCUGGACAUGUUGUGGAUGUUUCAAUAAUGAGCUGAGAUGGUGUGUGGGAGGCUCAUCGUACAGACAUAUUGCCGUAUCGCCUGUCUUCGGGGGGAAAAUAAACAGAUUGUACCACAUAAAUAGCACAGUUCAUGGUCAUUAGGCCGCUUGCACAGUGUUCUGAUGUAUGCAGAUUGCUUGUAUGUAGAUAGGAGUAUAAAUGGGAACCAAACAGUUUCAGUGGAUCGGCUUGUACGGUUGUACCGACCUACUAACUUGCAUCCCUUUGGGAAGCUCGUAUAAUGGAACUUGGUCCAAAUU